rnacentral:rRNA from 1 species
GACGAACGCUGGCGGCGCGCCUAACACAUGCGAGUCGAACGAGCGAGAGAGAGCUUGCUUUCUCGAGCGAGUGGCGAACGGGUGAGUAACGCGUGAGGAACCUGCCUCAAAGAGGGGGACAACAGUUGGAAACGACUGCUAAUACCGCAUAAGCCCACGGCUCGGCAUCGAGCAGGGGGAAAAGGAGCAAUCCGCUUUGAGAUGGCCUCGCGUCCGAUUAGCUAGUUGGUGGGGUAACGGCCCACCAAGGCGACGAUCGGUAGCCGGACUGAGAGGUUGAACGGCCACAUUGGGACUGAGACACGGCCCAGACUCCUACGGGAGGCAGCAGUGGGGAAUAUUGCACAAUGGGGGAAACCCUGAUGCAGCGACGCCGCGUGGAGGAAGAAGGUCUUCGGAUUGUAAACUCCUGUUGUUGGGGAAGAUAAUGACGGUACCCAACAAGGAAGUGACGGCUAACUACGUG